GGGGCUGUGACUCAGUGGUAGAGCAUCUGCUUGGCAUAUAGAAGGUCUUGGAUUCAAUUCCCAUCAUCUCCA
rnacentral:tRNA from 1 species